AUUGAACGCUGGCGGCAGGCCUAACACAUGCAAGUCGAACGAGUGGCGGACGGGUGAGUAAUGUCUGGGAAACUGCCUGAUGGAGGGGGAUAACUACUGGAAACGGUAGCUAAUACCGCAUACUAUCGGAUGUGCCCAUAUGGGAUUAGCUAGUAGGUGGGGUAAAGGCUCACCUAGGCGACGAUCCCUAGCUGGUCUGAGAGGAUGACCAGCACCACUGUAAGUGAGACACGGUCCAGAGUCCUACGGGAGGAAGCAGGGGGGAAUAUUGCACAAUGGGCGCAGGCCUGAGGCAGCCAUGCCGCGUGUAUGAAGAAGGCCUUCGGGUUGUAAAGUACUUUCAGCGGGGAGGCGUUACCCGCAGAAGAAGCACCGGCUAACUCCGUGCCAGCAGCCGCGGUAAUAC
rnacentral:rRNA from 1 species